UGGGGAAUCUUGCGCAAUGGGCGAAAGCCUGACGCAGCAACGCCGCGUGCGGGAUGAAUGCCUUCGGGUUGUAAACCGCUUUCAGCAGGGACGAAAAUGACGGUACCUGCAGAAGAAGCCCCGGCUAACUACGUGCCAGCAGCCGCGGUAAUACGUAGGGGGCAAGCGUUGUCCGGAUUUAUUGGGCGUAAAGAGCUCGUAGGCGGUUCCGUAAGUCGCGUGUGAAAAAUCUGGGCUCAACCCAGUGGAGCACACGAUACUGCGGUGACUAGAGUACGGUAGAGGAGUGUGGAAUUCCUGGUGUAGCGGUGAAAUGCGCAGAUAUCAGGAGGAACACCAACGGCGAAGGCAGCACUCUGGGCCGGUACUGACGCUGAGGAGCGAAAGCGUGGGGAGCAAACA
rnacentral:rRNA from 1 species